GUCUGAAAUAUAUGGAGGUUCUAUUUCUGUAGCCAACAAUGUAUCCUGCUCAUAAUAAAUGAUAUUGGUUUCUGAAAUGCCCACAACAAAAUUCUAACCCUUCGGGUUUUAGGCUACCUGCACUAUUUUGUGGGGUGACAACAUGUGUGGAGUUGUGUCCUUGCAUAAGUUGGGCCACCUCCAUUUACCUGACAAGCAAGAUGGCAUAGAAAUAUGUUUCAGAACUGUCAACAACCAAGGAACAGAAGCACAACACACCCAUUUGUAAUUGCUCUAUUUAUUAAUACAUAUAUCACAAAUGUUCACGAUAUCAAUGCAUUCUUGUUGGCAUGCUAGACAGAGGCAUUAUUUUUAAAGAUCUUUUAAAAAUAUUUUGACUUUUGUUUCCCCUUCACACUCAGUUUUAAAUUGAUCUGAUGAGGUCCUGGAAGUCUGUAAUGUCAAUGCAAGAACAAAAUACAGAAAGAAGUAAAACAAUACCAUAGCAAUUAAUUGGGGAAAACAAAGAUAAUAUCAUUCCUUUCACAGGAAGCAACAGCACAGCUUUGUAACAGGAUUAUACAGGUUUCAACCAAGAGCCAAAGGCGCACUAAACUGUCUCUACACACCCAGGUACAGAACAUUAAUGAGCAAAGAGGCCACCUAAUGCUCAACAACAAUUUCCAUCAUGCGUGACACAUGCUUUUUUCUCCUCGUGAACAAUUACUGAUGUGUCUCUUUAUAUGUCCUAGGCAGCCCAAAGAAGAUAGGAAUGCACCUUAGUAAAGAGAAAACCAAACCAAACAAGAUUAAGCCAAAAGAACAGAUAACUAUCAUCUGCUUAUCUAUGUUAUGGUGUAUGGCAUUUAUCGACCACAGUGAGGGGAUAAAAGGCCUCUCCCACAUUACAUGCAGGCCCCAGGGGGCCAGUGAUGGUGUGAUAACCAGUCACCUACAAUGAGCUGCAGUUGAACCAAGUACACUGGAGGAGCUGGCACGCACAGGGCCUCAGGGUGGGGUUCACUAAGACUAGCUGCAGGGGGACCUGGUUACACUCUGUGGCACAACAGGGCUUCACAAGAUAGACACUAUACAUGAUUCGGUCUGAAAGGUGGAGAAGAGACUGGGUAGGGGGGUCAGUUGCACGCAAGGUUGGGGAAGUGGGAACAGGGCAGGUGUAUUAUGUACUGUGCUCUAACAUUGUUUGGAAGUCUUUCAGAGAUUGCUGUAGUUCCUUUUAAACACAGGUCUCUUCUUCCAACGUUCUUGAAAGACAGAGAGAGAUUAAAACAAGUGAGUGAUUCACCAUUUAUAAGAGCUUUAAAAAAAUAAAGGUAACAAGCUGAAAGGAACAUUUCCAUAUUUU
ensembl:lncRNA